GGAUGCCGGAGCCCUCCCAGCGAGAGCCGUGUUUAUUUUACUUUACAUACAUUUUCCAACACGGAGCGGCUUGCACACAUGCAGCUCUUAGGCCCGGGCCGCACGUCUCAGAAGCCCCGUGUGCGACUUUGACCGCCGCACGAUCCUCUGCCGGGGGAGGUGGGCCCGCUGCGCUUUGGGAGCACCCGCGCCCGACACUGAGGUCUCGGUGCUGUGUUCGGCCUCUUCGUCCCUGCGGGUCCCCUCUGGGAGCAGAGGCGGUCGGAAAACCCUGGGGCUGAAGUGCAGGCUUCGGGAGGACGCGACCUGCCAAGAUCAGCUCCCGGCACGUGAUGGGAGCCUGGCUCACCUUCCCCCAGCGCACGAUGGGCCGCAGCCUCCCCGGUCGGCCUGGCCUGCUGGAAAGGAGCAGCUCUGUUUCCAGAGGCUUCUGGCGAAGCCCACGGCCUCCCAUUGUUGGCUGAUUUAUAAGGAAAGAGGGGAAAGGCCAAGUGUGGAUGCCAUUAGCAUAACCUAAUCCAGACCCCAUGACAAGUCCAGGAUCCUGCAGGGAGAGGGCAUCCUUGAACGUGAAGGACUGGCUUUGGAAACUUGGCCUCCCGGAAGAAAGGUCUCCGGGCCCACCCACACCCACCUUGUGGACGCCCCCGCAGUCGAAUACACUCCACAGGAAGACGGACCACAAACAGCAGCAGCCUCCGGUGUCGGCCCAGUGAUCCGGGAGCUCAGAGUUGCAGCAAGCUUAAACUUCCUUAAAAACAAACCUCUGGGAAGAGGAAAACGAGGCAAGAUGCUGAGAAAAAGUCAUCUCCCACUCUGCCCUUCUCUGGCAAAUCGAAGUGUCCUCUUGUGGGAGGCGGUGGGCAGCGACACUCCUGUUGGACGUCAGUGCUCUCGGGAUGGGCCCGGCCACCCCGGAGCAGAACUCACUUAGGGCCUGGUGCCCCUGUGCCCAGUUCUCAGAACGUCGGAGUGCUCAGUUCUCAGAACGCCGGAGUGCCCCAUUCAUAACCUGCAGCCCCGUUCAUAGCCUGCAGCUCCCCUCCUUCCUCUCCUCCCGGUCGUCAGGGAGCACCCCCAGCUCCCCUCCCCACUCUCAAACCCUCCUCCUCCCUCCCCUCUCUCAUUUCCCUGUUUGCAGGAUCUCCUCCUGCCCACUCUCCAGCCCAGGUCCUCCCCUCUCAUCUCCAAUUCUGCUUCAUGGGCCAUGACAGCAGGCAGGCCAUGGCCUGCUCUCAGCAGUUUGAUCGAUGGACUAAGGAGAUCACUCCUAUGAGAGUGAAAAAGUCAAAUGUGCCUGAGAUUCGGAUGGGGAGCUCUCAAAGCUACGGAUUGCAAGAGUCAACACCGCCUCAAAAGUACAAGGCCGGCCGGGUGCAGUGGCUCACACCUGUAAUCCCAGCACUUUGGGAGACUGAGGCGGGUGGAUCACCUGAGGUCAGGAGCUCAAGACCAGCCUGACCAACAUGGUGAAAUCCCGUCUCUAUUAAAAAUACAAAAAAGAUUAGCCGGGUGUGGUGGUGCAUGCUUGUAGUCCCAGCUACUCGGGAGGCUGAGGCAGGGGGAGCACUUGAACCCGGGAGGUGGAGGUUGCAGUGAGCCGAGAUUGCACCAUUGCACUCCAGCCUGGGCAACAGAGUGAGACCCUGCCUCAAAAAAAUAAAAAAAUAAAAGUACGAGGCCCGGUUUAAAUGCAGGAGGAAUCUGGUGAGCGAGUUUCACUCUGAUGCAACAGAAAAGCCAAGCCAAGCCUUGGCUGUGCCUGGUCUUGGCCGGGGAGCCACAGGCAGGGUCUGCUGGUUUCGGUGUCAGGGGCACAUCCCCAGGACCACGUCUGAGAUGGGAAGUGCCUUGAUGGAAAACUGAUACCUUUUUCUUUCCGAGUAACUUUAGAACAUGUCGCUUCAAAUAUAACUAAUAUCCUGAUUUCAGUGGACUUGCAUGGAAGGAAACGCAAGUUCAUUUGCCAGUGGGGGGUGAGGACUGGGAGAGUGGGGAGCAGGGUGGGGAAGAGGGGAGCAUUCCACAAGCCGCAAGAGCCUGGACACCUCCAGCCUUCAAUAAAU
ensembl:lncRNA novel transcript